rnacentral:rRNA from 1 species
CCCGAAUGGGGAAACCCAGUGUGACUCGUCACACUAUCAUUAACUGAAUCCAUAGGUUAAUGAGGCGAACCGGGGGAACUGAAACAUCUAAGUACCCCGAGGAAAAGAAAUCAACCGAGAUUCCCCCAGUAGCGGCGAGCGAACGGGGAGGAGCCCAGAGCCUGAAUCAGCAUGUGUGUUAGUGGAAGCGUCUGGAAAGGCGCGCGAUACAGGGUGACAGCCCCGUACACAAAAGCGCAUGUGCUGUGAGCUCGAUGAGUAGGGCGGGACACGUGGUAUCCUGUCUGAAUAUGGGGGGACCAUCCUCCAAGGCUAAAUACUCCUGACUGACCGAUAGUGAACCAGUACCGUGAGGGAAAGGCGAAAAGAACCCCGGCGAGGGGAGUGAAAAAGAACCUGAAACCGUGUACGUACAAGCAGUGGGAGCA